GACGAACGCUGGCGGCAUGCCUUACACAUGCAAGUCGAACGGCAGCACGGGAGCAAUCCUGGUGGCGAGUGGCGGACGGGUGAGUAAUAUAUCGGAACGUGCCCAGUCGUGGGGGAUAACGCAGCGAAAGCUGUUCUAAUACCGCAUACGAUCUACGGAUGAAAGCGGGGGAUCGCAAGACCUCGCGCGAUUGGAGCGGCCGGUAUCAGAUUAGCUAGUUGGUGGGGUAAAGGCCAACCAAGGCGACGAUCUGUAGCUGGUCUGAGAGGACGACCAGCCACACUGGAACUGAGACACGGUCCAGACUCCUACGGGAGGCAGCAGUGGGGAAUUUUGGACAAUGGGCGCAAGCCUGAUCCAGCAAUGCCGCGUGCAGGAUGAAGGCCUUCGGGUUGUAAACUGCUUUUGUACGGAACGAAACGGCCCUUUCUAAUACAGGGGGCUAAUGACGGUACCGUAAGAAUAAGCACCGGCUAACUACGUGCCAGCCGCCGCCGUAAC
rnacentral:rRNA from 1 species